AAAGUUUGGUUAGGUCAGAUUACGUUAAGUCAGGUCAAAUUAGGUUAGGUUGGGUUGUGUUAGAGUGUGAGAAAUAAAUGUUGACUAUCUCCCAAAGCUUCGAUUUAACACAAGUAUCAAAAAUGUCCAUAUUAUUGUUUUUGUUAUUUAUAUUGUGUUAAUAUUAUUCACAAUAUUAAUAAGAAUACUUACUUCGUAAUUGAAAAUCCCGCAUGUUAUCAUGUGAAAGGCCAAGCACUGAGUGAGACAAUGUUAUGUUAUCUUGAAGCAAUAAACAGGUGGUAAAUUGUUCGGUUAAGUUGCAAUAAUAGUGUAAGUAAUUAAAUAAUAGUGUGAUUUCAUAUUGUACUUUCCUGGAAAAACUUUCAAGUUAUUACAGGGUCUAGUAGUACUUCCGCUCCAUAUGAUCAUCAUAUCCGAUUUUGUACAAGCAAAAUCGAUUUCAUAACUGGUCCGCCAUUGUUAAAGGAGAGGUCAAACAGUUCUUGUUAGGAAAUUUUGCAUAAUUGCCAUCAGAAUGCUUCCAGUUCAGAAAAUGAUAAGAUUAGCCCCAUUAGUGAGCCGAAAUAUUAUACAGUCGAGGGGAGUUACCAGAGAGUCAACCGUCAUUUCUGUGCCCGCUAAAGUGAAAAUUUCAUCCGCGGAGAAGGUAGUCCAUGGUGUCUUGAUUGUAUUAGGUAUCUGCUUCACUCCUGCAUGGGUCUUGACACACCUGAAAGACUACCAAAGCCGUAAAGAGUAAUAGAGAAGAAACUUAGCAGUAUUUUUGUAAUGGUGCACAACACAUGAUCCCAGUACUGUCAUAAAUAUGCUUGUAGUGUGACUUAAAAUUAAUUACCACAUGCUGUAAUUAUACAUAUUGUUCUCAAUAGCAUUAUUUGAUUAAUUGGUUUAUAUUUUCAUCUGGAAUCACACAUCUGGGAAUGGAACUGCAUGUACACAUAAUAAAUUUGUUAAUAAAUAAGUUACAUUA